CACGUAGGGCGCAAGCGUUGUCCGGAAUUAUUGGGCGUAAAGAGCGUGUAGGCGGCCAGGUAGGUCCGUUGUGAAAACUCGAGGCUUAACCUCGAGACGUCGAUGGAAACCAUCUGGCUAGAGUCCGGAAGAGGAGAGUGGAAUUCCUGGUGUAGCGGUGAAAUGCGCAGAUAUCAGGAAGAACACCCGUGGCGAAGGCGGCUCUCUGGGACGUGACUGACGCUGAGACGCGAAAGCGUGGGGAGCAAACAGG
rnacentral:rRNA from 1 species